UAAAUCUGGAAGCUUCCACAGGCCUUGCUCUAAUGCUCCUGUUCCCAAGGCUCGCGCCAGUGGCAGGGACCCGGAUGUUUCGGGAGCAGGUGGGAUACAGGACGACUCUGGUAAACGGAAGAGCUCGAGGAGGGGUUUCUCAAAGGUGCAGAGCCGAGCCAGCCUAGAGCCUCCCCAGCAUGGACCGCUGUCCUCUCUAUGUUUCCUUCCUCUCCUUUCAGCUCCCUGCCAGUGUGACACAUCUGGCUGUGACUGAUGCAGACCCCCAAUGUACGGCGGGCCCUGUCUAGAUAUCAGAUGCCUUUCCUUUUCAGUGCACUGACUUCUGAUUUUAAGCAACUGGGCAUCCAAGAUGUUUGGCUCACACGGAGACCCCGAUUGGCUCUGCCACUCCUGGUAUCUUCCCUGGCCAGAGGAAGCCACAAUGGACACACUCUGGGAAUUAAGAGAUUCGUUGUAGGCAGAACAGGACUUCUCCCCAGAGGACAGCAGCCUUGUCCCCCCGACCCCGUGGAGCUGGAGGGAAGA